rnacentral:lncRNA from 1 species
UGAAAAAAAUAACAAUUCAAGCUUUUACUUGUCACAUUUUUCACCGUGGUUAAAUUUUAAUUAGCAUAGCUUAGAAGAUGUUCCAAUGCAUGCUGCUAGGUUCAACAUUGCUCCAUGUAUCUGCAACAACAGUACCAAUCAUCUAAUUAGUAUCCGUCAAAAUGAGAGUGGCUGCGGAAGUGGGUAUAACUAAGAAACACAUAUAUGGAUGUAGUUGUGUUAAAGAAGAUGCCA